ensembl:snRNA U2 U2 spliceosomal RNA
AUUGCUUUUCAGCCUUUUGGCUAAGAUCAAGUGUAGUAUCUGUUCUUUUGAGUUUAAUAUCUGAUACGUCCUCUAUAUGAGGACUACAUAUUAAUUUGAUUUUUAGAACAGGGAGACGGAGGAGAAGCUUGCUCCGUCUGCUCCGCAUUGACCUGGUAUUGCAGUACCUCUGGGAGCGGUGCACCUCCU